rnacentral:rRNA from 1 species
GAUGAACGCUAGCGGCAGGCUUAACACAUGCAAGUCGAGGGGUAGAGGAAGCUUGCUUCCUUGAGACCGGCGCACGGGUGCGUAACGCGUAUACAAUCUACCUUUUACAGAGGGAUAGCCCCAGAGAAAUUUGGAUUAAUACCUCAUAGUAUUUUCGGAUCGCAUGAUUUGAUUAUUAAAGUUCCAACGGUAAAGAUGAGUAUGCGUCCCAUUAGCUAGAUGGUAAGGUAACGGCUUACCAUGGCAAUGAUGGGUAGGGGUCCUGAGAGGGAGAUCCCCCACACUGGGACUGAGACACGGCCCAGACUCCUACGGGAGGCAGCAGUGGGGAAUAUUGGACAAUGGGCGAAAGCCUGAUCCAGCAAUGCCGCGUGAGUGAUGAAGGCC